UAAUGGAGGAGAUCAGGUCCAAUAUAAUUCAUAUAGAGCUGCCUAAUACUGUAGAACUGAUCUACUUUGGCAUGUAGAAUAUCGGUAAGAUAUUCCAAAGGGACCAUCUCAAGUCUGACUUCACGCCAGCCUUGGACAGACCAGUAUCUUCACUGAUCGCUAUAGUGGUACAUUC